UACGUAGGGUGCGAGCGUUAAUCGGAAUUAUUGGGCGUAAAGAGCUCGUAGGCGGCUUGUCGCGUCGGAUGUGAAAGCCCGGGGCUUAACUCCGGGUCUGCAUUCGAUACGGGCAGGCUGGAGUUCGGUAGGGGAGACUGGAAUUCCUGGUGUAGCGGUGAAAUGCGCAGAUAUCAGGAGGAACACCGGUGGCGAAGGCGGGUCUCUGGGCCGAUACUGACGCUGAGGAGCGAAAGCGUGGGGAGCGAACAGG
rnacentral:rRNA from 1 species